rnacentral:rRNA from 1 species
ACUAACGCUGGCGGCGUGCCUAAUACAUGCAAGUCGAACGGGAUUCUUUGAUCAGCUUGCUGAGAGAAGGAUCUAGUGGCGGACGGGUGAGUAACGCGUGGGAAUCUGCCUCUUACUGGGGGAUAACAGUGGGAAACUACUGCUAAUACCGCAUAAGAUCUUCGGAUGAAAGGUGCAACUGCACCGGUAAGAGAUGAGCCCGCGUCCCAUUAGCUAGUUGGUGAGGUAAAGGCUCACCAAGGCGACGAUGGGUAGCCGGCCUGAGAGGGUGAACGGCCACACUGGGACUGAGACACGGCCCAGACUCCUACGGGAGGCAGCAGUGGGGAAUAUUGCGCAAUGGACGGAAGUCUGACGCAGCGACGCCGCGUGAGCGACGAAGGCCUUCGGGUCGUAAAGCUCUGUUCUUGGGGACGAAUAAAAUGACGGUACCCAAGGAGAAAGCCCCGGCUAACUACGUG